AAUAGGCAUGGUUAUAUGAAAUAGUGUAAGUGUCAUGCUUGACGAUUGUAUACUCAAUGAUGCAUAAUGAUGUAAUAAAAACACUAAAUGUUUGGAUACCAUGAUUUAUGAUUUUAUGCAUGAGAUUUUAAAGUUAUACAUGAUGAUUUUUGUGACUUAUUGGUCUUGAUGGUUUUAUGAUGAAAUUCAUUUUACGAUCCUAAACGUUGAUGCAUGUUUUCAUUUGACAUAAAUGAAAAGGCAUGCUAACAUGAAAUCGAUCACUUAAGAUGAAACACUUAAAAAAGGGGAAAAAAUAUAUUAUCAAUGAAAUCAUGAAUAUAUUUAUGUUAUAAAUUUUGUGAGCCAUAAAAAUGAUUUUGAUAAUUUAAAUUUGAAAUGAGUU
rnacentral:lncRNA from 1 species